CCUACGGGGGGCAGCAGUGAGGAAUAUUGGUCAAUGGACGAGAGUCUGAACCAGCCAAGUAGCGUGAAGGAUGACUGCCCUAUGGGUUGUAAACUUCUUUUAUAUGGGAAUAAAAUGUUCCACGUGUGGGAUUUUGUAUGUACCAUAUGAAUAAGGAUCGGCUAACUCCGUGCCAGCAGCCGCGGUAAUACGGAGGAUCCGAGCGUUAUCCGGAUUUAUUGGGUUUAAAGGGAGCGUAGGUGGAUUGUUAAGUCAGUUGUGAAAGUUUGCGGCUCAACCGUAAAAUGGCAGUUGAAACUGGCAGUCUUGAGUACAGUAGAGGUGGGCGGAAUUCGUGGUGUAGCGGUGAAAUGCUUAGAUAGCACGAAGAACUCCGAUUGCGAAGGCAGUUCACUGGACUGCAACUGACACUGAGGCUCGAAAGUGUGGGUAUCAAACAGGAUUAGAUACCCGGGUAGUC
rnacentral:rRNA from 1 species